UCGCCUGUUUAUCAAAAACAUGGUUUUUUGUUUAUAUAAAAAAUUUGGCCUGCCCAAUGAUUAUUUUAAUGGCUGCAGUAUUUUGACUGUACAAAGGUAGCAUAAUCACUUGUCUUUUAAUUGAAGUCUGGUAUGAAUGGUUGGAUGAAAAAUUUACUUUCUUUAUUUUACAAAUAAAAUUUGAUUUCUAGAUUAGAAAGUCUAGAUUUAUUUAUAGGACGAGAAGACCCUAUAGAACUUUACCUUUCCCAAAUAAAUUAUUUAUUUGUAAAUAAUUUUUUAUUUUUUUGGGAAAAGUUUUGUUGGGGUGACAAAAAAAAACUUUAAACUUUUUUUAUUUAUCUCAUUUAUUUAUGAAUUUUUGAUCCUUUACUAAGGAAGUAAGAUUAAGUUACCUUAGGGAUAACAGCGUUAUUAUCUUAGAGAGUUCAUAUUGAUAAGGUAGUUUGCGACCUCGAUGUUGGAUUAAAAUUAGUGUCAGGGGUAGAAUAUUGAUAACUAGGUCUGUUCGACCUUUAAAUUUUUACAUGAUCUGAGUUCAAACCGGAGA
rnacentral:rRNA from 1 species